AUAGGCAAAUUGAAACACCUGUUCUCAUACAAUCACCAAAGUUAAGCAACAUUGAACCUGGUCAGUACCUAGACAGGUGACCAGUUGAGAAUACCAGGGGCUGUAAG